rnacentral:rRNA from 1 species
AUUGAACGCUGGCGGCAGGCCUAACACAUGCAAGUCGAGCGGAUGAGUGGAGCUUGCUCCAUGAUUCAGCGGCGGACGGGUGAGUAAUGCCUAGGAAUCUGCCUGGUAGUGGGGGACAACGUUUCGAAAGGAACGCUAAUACCGCAUACGUCCUACGGGAGAAAGUGGGGGAUCUUCGGACCUCACGCUAUCAGAUGAGUCUAGGUCGGAUUAGCUAGUUGGUGGGGUAAAGGCUCACCAAGGCGACGAUCCGUAACUGGUCUGAGAGGAUGAUCAGUCACACUGGAACGGAGACACGGUCCAGACUCCUACGGGAGGCAGCAGUGGGGAAUAUUGGACAAUGGGCGAAAGCCUGAUCCAGCCAUGCCGCGUGUGUGAAGAAGGUCUUCGGAUUGUAAAGCACUUUAAGUUGGGAGGAAGGGCAGUAAGUUAAUACCUUGCUGUUUUGACGUUACCAACAGAAUAAGCACCGGCUAACUUCGUGCCAGCCGCCGCGGUAAAAC